UACGUAGGGGGCUAGCGUUGUCCGGAUUUAUUGGGCGUAAAGAGCGUGUAGGCGGCCAGGUAGGUCUGCUGUGAAAACUCGAGGCUCAACCUCGAGACGUCGGCGGAAACCAUCUGGCUAGAGUCCGGAAGAGGAGAGUGGAAUUCCGUGGUGUAGCGGUGAAAUGCGCAGAUAUCAGGAAGAACGACCCGUGGCGAAGGCGGCUCUCUGGGACGGUACUGACGCUGAGACGCGAAAGCGUGGGGAGCGAACAGG
rnacentral:rRNA from 1 species